UUUUUUAUGUAUGUUACAUCAGAACUUUUGACCGGGUGGACCGAUUUCGACAAAUUUUCUUUUAAUCGAAAGGUGGUGUGUGCCAAUUAGUCCCAUUUAAAUUUAUUUGAGAUCUAACAACUACUUUUCGAGUUAUAUUUAAUAAUGCGUUUUUACUUGACACUUUUUUCGUCGACCUACGUUGUAUUAUACCGCAUAACUUUCUACUGGAUGUACCGAUUUUGAUAAUUCUUUUUUUGUAAGAAAGGAGAUAUCCCUAGUUUAGUACCAUGAUAAGGAAACCAGGAUCUGAUGAUGGGAUCCCAGAGA
rnacentral:misc_RNA from 1 species